rnacentral:siRNA from 1 species
UUAAGAAUUCUGUGAAAAUUGAUG